CUCCAAGCCUCCGAUCUCCAGCCUCUCGCUGCACCUCUCGCACGAUCGACUAUCGCCUUUAGCCUUUCCGAAUAAAUGGCCUUUGAAUCGAGCUCAUCCUCGUCUCCUCUGGUGGGUCAAUGGAAGUUGAGCGCCACCUCUGCUUGCUCGGGACGCCGCCUCCUUCGGUCCAAUCGCCCCCGCUGGCCGGGGUGAAGAAGUUGAGCACGGACUAUGCCGGUGAACCUUGCCAUCAGAGAUUCCAGAAGCAGUGACCCGUAUGUUGUUGUCAAGUUGGGAAAGCAGAAGGUAAAGACUUGUGUGGUGAAGAAGAAUGUGAAUCCGGAAUGGAAUGACCUUCUCACUCUAUCAGUUUCAGAUCCAAAUACGCCAAUCAAGCUGGCAUUCUUUCACUGAUGGUGGAGAGGUCAUGUGAGAAAGAUAGUCUUUUAUGCUAUUCUAUUUUUGUAUAGGUGCUUCACUUUAAGAAGUGCCAUAUACUUUUGUCAAGAAAAGGUAAAUAAACUUUCUAAAGGUAGUAUUUAAAAUAAUUAUUGUGAAUGUUUGGAUGUUUGUAUAGAAACUGUUUGACAAAAUAUUAACUUGAUCUGGUAGUAUAUUAUAUUAACUUGAUAAAUGUUAAGUUAGUUGAAAAAAAUUCUAAUCUCCCACUAUGCAAUUUAUAAUAUGUUUUCCCCUUCUAUUAUGCUCUUCUCGGAAAGAGUUUUACUUGGCUUUAAAAAAUGCUCAUGAUUAAAUAUACUCCUGUUUUAUGUAUGGCUGAUUUGUUUGAAUCAUAAAUUGAAAGAUUUUAUCGCAGUGUGCUAUGUAUAGCUUAAAUUUGGCAACAUUGUUAUACAAAAUAUAUUUGUGCAGAGAGCAUGUUUAUGAAACUUAAUAAGCAUUUUUUGGCUUGUUGUGAAUUCUAUCAAUUAUGACUAGAUAGAUGUCAGAUGAAAUAAUUGAGAUAUUAUUAUUGCUGUUAAAAGUAUAAAUCUCAUUUCGUCUUUAAUAGAAUUGCAAAAAGUUUACUCUAGCAUAUGAUAACUUCUAUAAUUAUUUUCGACUAUAAUUUUCUGUGGCUAUAUUAGAAUGGUUCUGGCUUGCUUAUCUAGUCACCGGAAAUAUAACAAAGUUUAUACCCUACUGUUAUUCUUGUUUCAGAUGAUGUGUAUAUAGUCAUGCAAUGCCAUGAAGUUUAAGUACUUGACAUUGCCUAACAAAUUAUCAAGAAAUUUGAGAUAGGACUUAUUUAUAGAAAUUCAAAUGAGCCUUGGUAAAUGUAAUUUUUUACCUGAAAUUUUAAGUGUUAAUAUUUGAUAAGCUAUUUGAGACUGACUUUUUUUUUUUUGCUGAAGUUUUAUUAUUAACCUCACUUCAAUUUCUAAUUCUUGAGACCUUGAUAUUAUUAACAUUAUGCUUCUUUAUACAUAAUGAUUAAUUGGAUGCAAAUACACUACUACAUUAUGCUUCUAAUUCUUGAGAAUAAUGUAUUUGACUCAACCCAAGGCUGAGAAGAAAGAGUAAGAUGAGCAUUUGGUUUUUCUCUUCUUUGCAUUAUUAUUUAAUGAUUUAAUUCAGAUUUGACUCACUUUCAUUAUAUUAUAACAUUGUAAAUGUGUGUAUGUGCUGAGACAGACUUCAAAGAAACUAUUUUGCAACAGUUUGCAAGAGGUAUGCUUCUAACUUUUAUUUUAAUACUAUGCAAAUGUUAGAGGAGUUUGAAUAUCUUAAAUAUUCAUCCAUAGUGAAGUAAGUUCUGAGAUUGUUAUUGUGUGUUGCGGUGAUAACGGAAGGUUGAGAACUUGUGUGUUUUAGUGAAGUAGGAUCUGAGAAAUUUGUGUGCUGCGUAGAUAAGAAAGAAAACUUGUGUGUUGUUUGAAUUGAUGUAGACUUGUCUAUGAUCAUCUUAUAAUUGAAUUGUGUUUGUUUGAUUGGUUUGAUUAUAACAUAUACUUGUAUAACAUUGAGCAUCACUUUUGGUUCUUGUGAUCACAUGUAGGUUCAAUAGUAUAAAGUGCUAUACAAAAGUUUGAUGUUAUUAGCAUAUUGGUUGAUAAUUUAUGAUUUCUUUUUUUGUACUAGAACUACUAUUUCAAUUUGUGUUUAUUUUAAUUGAAGCAUAGCUUUAUGUUUCAUUGUAGUCUAAUAGUUUGAUCAUUUUCUUACUUAAAUAAUAUCCAAGUUAUUUUUUUUCUUCCAAACUGUAAUUGUUUUCACCAUGUUCGAUGGCCUUAGUUGAAACAAUGUAUUCUUUAAACAAUUGAAAAUUUUCUAAAAAAAUCAAUUGGUGAGUUUUGGGUUCAAUCAAUUGAGACAUAGGAUAUAUAUUUAUAUAUUUAUUCGAUAAUUUCCUUUUCUGCACUAGAACUACUAUCUCAAUUUGUGUUUAUUUUAAUUGAAGCAUAGCUUUAUGUUUCUUUGUAUUCUAAUAGUUUGAUCAUUUUCUUAUUUAAAUAAUAUCUAAGUUAUUUGUUUUCUUCCAAAUUGUGAUUGUUUUUAUCAUGUUCGAUGGCUUUAGCUGAAACAAUGUAUUCUUUAAACAAUUGAAAGUUUUCUAAAAAAAUCAAUUGGUGAGUUUUGGGUUCAAUCAAUUGAGACAUAGGAUAUAUAUUUAUAUAUUUACUUGAUGAUUUCUUUUUCUGCACCAUAACUACUAUCUCAAUUUGUGUUUCAUUGUAGUCUAAUAGUUUGAUCAUUUUCUUACUUAAAUAAUAUCUAAGUUAUUUUUUUCUUCCAAACUGUGAUUGUUUUUACCAUUUUCGAUGGCCUUAGUUGAAAUAAUGUAUUCUUUAAACAAUUGAAAAUUUUCUAAAAUGGAUUGAUUAUCACUUUGUUAAAAAUGUUGCGCUUGUAUAAAAUUCAUAAUUAUAUGGCUAUUUAUUAAAAGAAAUAUAUAUGCUUGACCAAAAGAAAUUAUGAUUUUCUAUUUUGCGUAGACUUUCAAAUGUGAAUUAGAUUUAUAAAUUUUGAUUAGGCUUAUUCACAACUCGUAGUGUUACUUUAACAACUUUGUCUGGUUUGCUUGUUGUGUUACUUUAAUAAUCUUAUGCAUAUUACCUACACAGGGUAUGUCUUUAUAUGUGUAUAUAUGUAUAUUAAUUUCUCGAUGUUUAUUGUAUAUUUGCUAAUGUGCUAUGAAUGAUUGGUAAUUUGGUUUAUUAAUGUCUGUGAUUUCAUAAACAAACUAGCUUGAGCACUUUUAAAUUGAGAUUGACAGGUAUGCAUUUCCAUUGGUCAUUGUAAUAGAGUUAGUAAUUUUACAGCUCAUUCCUUAGAAAAACUUGCAUCAUCUCUUGAUUCCCCUAGAGUUUGGUGGCUUGGUUUGCCUUCAUGUCUGUGGCCUUAAAAUUCUUUAUGUUUGAUGUUUUUGCUUCAUCUUGGUUGUUUGCCCAAUAAAAUUCUAUGAAUUUCACUCAAAAAAAAAAAAAAGAAUUAAGACUAACUACUUAGGCCAUGAGGCUAUCAAAUUUGAUAAGAAAAAUACAAAUUUUAUAUAAAUUAUUUUUGUGACUGAAAACCACAAUCAUCCUUUUUAUUUAUUCUGCAACCUCAAGUUCUUUAUUUAUUUUAGUUUUGGUUUAAUUUUAAUGGUGUUUAUUCUGUAUUGUAGGCUAAAACUCUACUUGGAUAUUUAAGAGAACCAAGACAAUUAUAUAAGAGAACCAAGGCAACACGAAAUUCUUCUUCAAGUUGUUGGGUAUUAUUUUCUUUCUUGCUUGUAAGAAUUAUGUAUUAUUUACAUUGAGAAUAAUGAAUUUUUAUUGAGAAUUAUAAUGAAUUUUCAUUAAGACUUAUUUAGUCUCAUGGGGAUUAGAUGUAUUAUUUACAUUUCAAUUGUAUGAAUAAAUGUUGUAUGUAUAUGAAUUUUUAUUAUGACAAAUAUAAUUUUUUUU